CUAACAAACAGAAAUGAACAAUGCAAAUGUAAACAUCUGAACAUUCUAAUUAACAAACAAACAAGUGAACAAUGAAAUUGUAAACAAUUUCAAAAAUCUGAACUUUCUCAAAAAACAAACAAACAAACAAACAACAACAACAACAAAAACUGGUACAAAUCCUUAAGAUUGGCGAUUGGUGGCAAAGCAACAAAACUAAAUCUGACUUUUUGCAAAUGCGCAUCAACACAGUGCUGCGACUACAUGUUAUGAUCUUUCUCAAAGCUGAAAAUCUUACAAAGGGAUACAGUUAUUCACUGUAAGUAACCAAAUGAAGUUUAAUUAGACUUGCUGCGACACAUUUGGAAACGAUUCACAGCACAGCGUCUUUCUCCUGCACAUUGUCAUGUAAGCUAUUAUUAACCUGGAGUUUGACGUCUUUGUUUGAAUAGUUGACAGAGUCUGAGCACUGCUUCUAUUCACUGUCAUUCGGCUCUGUCUCUGACUCACUGAAUAAAUGAACUCUUCGCCUCUUCCCACAUUGUGCUCACGGGUCACUUGUCAAACUGUAAGCAGUCCUGCGAGCAGAAAUAGCCGGGCCGGUUCGCUCUGGCCCAGCAGGUUUUUGAGAGCAGUCCAGCCGAACACACAUCUCAUGCUGAGCAUCUGGAUAAAGGUGAAAUCAUCAUUUCAUAGGAAUCUGCACCAUCUGAAGGCAGAUCACUGUGAACGACCCACAAGAACUGAUUGGUAUUUGUGUGGCGGCCUUUGGCGUAUGGUGAGAAUGAUCUUUCUGUGUUAUUAUAACUGGCAUUUGUCAUAAAUCAGCAUUGAAGCCUUUCAUUGACCCAUGUCUGAGUCCAAUAUAACUGAGAUUUACCCAGCAAGCUGUCCAGCAAACACACCGAGGAGGGCAGUGAGUGAUCCCAUGAAUUCUCAUGCGCCGGGCACACGGUUCUGCAUCAAAUCUACUGAUCUGGCACAACUUGAAGAGAAACACGUUUAUACAAAUAAUUAAACCCAACAACAAGUGUUUAGGCUGGAGACCAAACGAGAUGGUAAUGUAUUCCACAUGUUGGUAUCAGGCUUCAAAUACGGUGCUAUAUGAUUGUGCCUUUCAGCAUAUGUCUAAAAAGAGAAGAAAAUACUUGAUUUCCAUUUGCCAUAAAAUCACCAGACACAACAGCCAAACAAGUCAGAAAAACUGGUAGGCCUGCGUUUACAAACACAAAUAUUAUUGAGUGCAGAACCAAUAAAUCUGCAGCUCAGAGGCCAAUGAUUCAUGAAUCAUUACAAAACGUCUCAGAACGGUUUAUGUGUUGUAAUGUGAAAUAUGACUCGUUUUAUUGCCCAUAUUUACUUCAUACCUUGUCACGUCCUGCGCGUGCUUUACAAAGCGAAUAAUUUAUAAGACCGACCAGUUUGUUGGUCACUUUUGGCCUAUGCCAUCAUCAGCAUGAGCUUAACAGGGAUCGAUCGGUCUUUUAACGGGCCUGCCUUAUUGGAAUCAAAUGACACACAAACACAGGCCGCUCUCUAUGAAGUCAAGGUGUUCAAUAUCACCCUUUCUUCAGUAGCUCUGUGCAUCCUGACGGUGACAGGAAUCAUCAGCUGUAUAUUGUACCGAAGACACAGAAGGAAGUGUAAGCGGGCACACGUCUAUGAGAGCGCCGUGGCCUGCGAGGUUCCUGAAGAGCCAGCGGGUGUUAUGUGUGUGAGGAAAACCCAUAGUUGUCGUAACCCGCUCGCCCUGUUUAGAAGACAGGAGGGGCUGAAGGACAACUCACGCAUCCACUACAUCUACACCAACCCUCUGCCUGUAGGACACGAGGAGGACAGGAUCCCCCCUCACUCAGUGUCCAUACACACCCCUCUCCCACUGCAGGACUACGCCAACGACCCCAACAGCGGCAUCAUCCUAGCCCCACCCAUUUUUUUACAUGCAGCUGUAGAAAGGUAG
ensembl:lncRNA